UCAUCUAAUAAAUUUUAAAAAAAAAUAAAAAAAUCCAAGAUACCCUAAAGGACUCGAACCAGUUACCAAAUCUUGGAGAACCAAGGAGAAGUUCAAGAAGGGAUGAAAGUUGAUAUCCAACAAUUGAAGGGGCAAAUGAGCCAAGCCCUAAAGGUCUUGAGUGCCUUGAAAAACUUUGGGGAUUCGUGUGCACCACAACCUCAACACAAAGUUCAAGAAGCCCAAAAUUUCCCUUACAUGGUCUUCCCCUAAAUUACACUUCACCCUCAGGAGCGUACUUAGGACAAGUUCACACUCAAAAAGCAGAAGAUAACAAACUUGAAGUGGAAAACAAGCUUGNGGCACCCAUUUUCAUGGUCCCUAGGAAAAGGCUUUAAUCAAGUAUUGUGAGCAUGACAAUGACAAGGCAAUCUGAGUUGAAAUAUUCUUUCCCUGUUUGCACACCAGUGGAUGUUGAGGUUGACAGGGGUAAAUUUGAAAUGUUGAAAAAGGAUGACAGCCAUAGAAGGCGAAUGAAGCACUAGGUCUGAAAAUGUUGCAAGGCUUGCUUAGUCUCGGAUAUGAUGAUACAUUCAAAAGUUUAAAUUUUCCAAAGGUGAGAAAUAUAGAGGGACCAUUUGCNUUAAGACUCAUCUAAUGGCGCAUGACAAGAAAACGGUUGUGUAUGCAUAUGAUGAAAAGUUGCUAAUUCGUUUCUUCCAAGGUAGAUUGGCUGGCAUGCCACUAAACUGAGGNUGUCAUCUUGAACAUUCGUGCAUCCAGUCUUGGGAGGAUCUGGUUCGUGCUUUCUUGAAGCAUUUCGAAUAUAACACGAAUGUGACAUCUCAUGGAUUACAACUACACAGCAUGAUGAAAAAGGAGUUUGAAUCAUUCAAAGAGUAUGCCUAAAGGUGAAAAAAAAAGGAAAGUCUCUUAUGAGUGAUAACGAGAUGGUUGACACAUUCCUAAAUACUCUGAGAUCACCC
rnacentral:lncRNA from 1 species